AUUGAACGCUGGCGGCAUGCCUUACACAUGCAAGUCGAACGGUAGAGGGGCAACCCUCGAGAGUGGCGAACGGGUGAGUAAUGCAUCGGAACGUGCCCAGCCGUGGGGGAUAACGUAGCGAAAGCUACGCUAAUACCGCAUACGACCCGAGGGUGAAAGCGGGGGCCUCGCAAGGGCCUCGCGCGAUUGGCACGGCCGGUGGCAGAUGAGGUAGGUGGUGGGGGAAAGGCCUACCAAGCCGACGAUCUGGAGCUGGGCUGGGAGGACGACCAGCCACACUGGGACUGAGACACGGCCCAGACUCCUACGGGAGGCAGCAGUGGGGAAUUUUGGACAAUGGGCGCAAGCCUGAUCCAGCCAUGCCGCGUGCGGAAAGAAGGCCUUCGGGUUGUAAACCGCUUUUGUCAGGGAAGAAAUCUUCUGGGUUAAUACCUCGGGAGGAUGACGGUACCUGGAGAAUAAGCACCGGCUAACUACGUGCCAGCAGCCGCAGUAACAC
rnacentral:rRNA from 1 species